rnacentral:rRNA from 1 species
GCUCAGUAACACGUGGAUAACCUACCCUUAGGACCGGGAUAACCCUGGGAAACUGGGGCUAAUACUGGAUAGAUGAUUUUUCCUGGAAUGGUUUUUUGUUUAAAUGUUUUUUCGCCUAAGGAUGAGUCUGCGGCCGAUUAGGUAGUUGGUUAGGUAAUGGCUUACCAAGCCGUUGAUCGGUACGGGUUGUGAGAGCAAGAGCCCGGAGAUGGAACCUGAGACAAGGUUCCAGGCCCUACGGGGUGCAGCAGGCGCGAAACCUCCGCAAUGUGAGAAAUCGCGACGGGGGGAUCCCAAGUGCCAUUCUUAACGGGAUGGCUUUUCAUUAGUGUAAAGAGCUUUUGGAAUAAGAGCUGGGCAAGACCGGUGCCAGCCGCCGCGGUAACACCGGCAGCUCUAGUGGUAACAAUUUUUAUUGGGCCUAAAGCGUCCGUAGCCGGUUUAAUAAGUCUCUGGUGAAAUCCUGCAGCUUAACUGUGGGAAUUGCUGGAGAUACUAUUAGACUUGAGACCGGGAGAGGUUAGAGGUACUCCCAGGGUAGAGGUGAAAUUCUGUAAUCCUGGGAGGACCGCCUGUUGCGAAGGCGUCUAACUGGAACGGUUCUGACGGUGAGGGACGAAAGUUAGGGGCGCGAACCGGAUUAGAUACCCGGGUAGUCCUAACUGUAAACGAUGCGGACUUGGUGUUGGGGUGGCUUUGAGCUGCUUCAGUGCCGAAGGGAAGCUGUUAAGUCCGCCGCCUGGGAAGUACGGUCGCAAGACUGAAACUUAAAGGAAUUGGCGGGGGAGCAC